CCUACGGGAGGCAGCAGUGGGGAAUUUUGGACAAUGGGGGAAACCCUGAUCCAGCAAUGCCGCGUGUGCGAAGAAGGCCUUCGGGUUGUAAAGCACUUUUAUUCGGAGAGAAAUCCCUUGGGCUAAUACCCUGAGGGUCUGACGGUACCGGAUGAAUAAGCGCCGGCUAACUACGUGCCAGCAGCCGCGGUAAUACGUAGGGCGCGAGCGUUAAUCGGAAUUACUGGGCGUAAAGCGUGCGCAGGCGGUUUUGUAAGACAGAUGUGAAAGCCCCGGGCUCAACCUGGGAAUUGCAUUUGUGACUGCAAGGCUAGAGUGUGUCAGAGGGAGGUGGAAUUCCGCGUGUAGCAGUGAAAUGCGUAGAGAUGCGGAGGAACACCGAUGGCGAAGGCAGCCUCCUGGGAUAACACUGACGCUCAUGCACGAAAGCGUGGGGAGCAAACAGGAUUAGAUACCCUGGUAGUCCACGCCCUAAACGAUGUCAACUAGUUGUCGGGAAUUAAAUUUCUUGGUAACGCAGCUAACGCGUGAAGUUGACCGCCUGGGGAUACGGCCGCAAGGUUAAACCNCGAAAUGAAUUGACGG
rnacentral:rRNA from 1 species